AUUGAACGCUGGCGGCAGGCCUAACACAUGCAAGUCGAACGAGUGGCGGACGGGAGAGUAAUGUCUGGGAAACUUCCUGAUGGAGGGGGAUCACUACUGGAAACGGUUGCUACUACCGCAUACCAUCAGAUGUGCCCAGAUGGGUUUGGCUUGUUGGUGGGGUAACGGCUGACAAAGGCGACGAUCCCUAGCUGGUCUGAGAGGAUGACCAGCCACCCUGGAACUGAGACACGGUCCAGACGCCUACGGUAGGCAGCAGUGGGUAAUAUUGCACAAUGGGCGAAAGCCUGAUGCAGCCAUGCCGCGUGUGUGAAGAAGGCCUUCGGGUUGUAAAGUACUUUCAGCGGGGAGGCGUUACCCGCAGAAGAAGCACCGGCUAACUCCGUGCCAGCAGCCGCGGUAAUUC
rnacentral:rRNA from 1 species